UGUUCCUUUACGGCCAGUCACAGUUUCUUAUUUUAGACCAUCAUCUCUCUAAAAUCAAACCCUAAACCCUACGUGACGCUUAUAAAUUUUCUUCCCUCAUCGCCUCUCUUCUCUACUUCUCUCUUUCCCGCCGCGUUAUUUCAGUGAGUUACAGUGUGGUUCGCCCCUACUCUUCCUUUCUUCCUAUUUUGUUUCUUUUAAUUUUCUUGAUCUUUUGAAGUAUUUGUGUGCUUGUUUUGGAUCUCGAUCUUCUCUUUGGUUCAAUCGAAGAUUGAAGAUUCUCUAGGUUUUAUGUCUUGUCUCAUGGAUUGAUUUACCAAGAUUAGAUUGUUAGUGAUUAUUGAUCUAGAUCGAGUAGUAACUUCGCAUUGGUGGCUCUGUUUUUGUGUCAUUGGAGAACUAAUUAUUCGCUAUUCAGUCUGUGAUGACAAAUUUCAAGGCUUGUUUCUCAAAACAUUCGCAGUGGCCGACUAAGAGCUUUCGCCUUCGCCUGGCUUGAGAGCUUGUGCUGCUCCAAUCCUUCCUUGGAUGUCUGAGACAUCAAACAUGACCCACAGUAAGGCAAUGUAAAUCUUUGAUUUCUUUCUACUAAAAUUUGCUGUCUUUAUGGCCUCAUUGAUGUUGAUUUGAUAUAUAGUGUCGUUAAUCUGCUGUUUUGAGUUUGAUUUCGACCGGGUCAUGUGACAUCACAUAUUAAAUUGUUUUACUGAACCAGUUACCCACAUUUUGAGGUUAAUCGUUAGACAACAAAUAAAUGCGUCUUAGUAAUGGAUGUAUGUCUAUGAUGACAAGUUUUAAGGCUUGUUUCUCAAAACAUUCGCAGUGGCCGACUGAGAGCUUUCGCCUUCGCCGGGCUUGAGAGCUUUUGCUGCUCCAAUCCUUCCUUGGAUGUCUGAGACAUCUUUCAUAGUCCAAACAAAGGCGAUAUAGAUGUCUUGAAAUGUUUCUACUAGGAUUUAUUUUUGGUGUCCUGGAUUUGAUAAUGACAUGUUAUUCUUUUCAUUUCCAAUUCUUCCUUGGAUGUCUGAGACAUCUUGCAUAGUCCAAAGAAAGGCGAUAUGGAUGUCUUGAAAUGUUUCUACUAGGAUUUAUUUCUGCAUGAUUAUGCCGUGUACUAUCUGAUUAUAUGUGUGACAUGCUAUGACUGUUUACCUUGUAUUACUUAAUUAACUGCAUUUUGAUUUUUCAUAGUUAGACUUAGACGACAAAUGAAUGCAUCAUUUCAAUGAGUUAUCAUCUAUGAUGAUGAAUUUUAAGGCUUGUUUCUCGAAACAUUCGCAGUGGCCGCCUUCGCCGGGCUUGAGAGCUUAUGCUGCUCCAAUCCUUCCUUGGAUGUCUGAGACUGUUCUAUUUCUUCUCACCAAGUUAAUGUUUCUUAUUCGGUGAUUUUCUAUAGUUGCACUAAUUGGCCGUCUAAGAGCAUUCGCCUUCGCCGGGCUUGAGAGCUUGUGCUGCUUCAAUCCUUCCUUGGAUGUCUGAGACUCGUUAACCUUUUUGAUUGGUGAUACAUCUACUUCUUAUGGAAUUUCUUGUUGCCAUGUUUUCAUGAAUGUGUUUUAUAUUCCUAGGGUAUCUUUGUAUUUCUUUCAUGUUUUUCUUGCUUGUUUCUCUUCUGGUCAUAAGAUUCAACCGUUCAUCCAUUUAGAAGGGUGCCAUGAAAUGUUUCAAUCCGACGGAUUGGGGACUUGACGUCUGCCCCUCUGGCUAGCUAAUAAGUGCCUCAGGGAUGAACAAGCCCCUUACAUUUAACCGUCUGUUUCACUUUGUCAGCAGACGUUUUUGUUUUCUGUUGAUCAUUUUAGGAUGGAACAUAUUCUACUGCUGAAAUCGAUCUACCUUUUGUUAGGAAACAAGAUGAACAACUGUUUUUUAAGCAAAUUGCAUAUGUUUUGGAUGCGUUACACAGCGAUUGAAUUAUAAAUUGUGGCUAAUGAUGACAAAUAUAAGGCUUGUUUCUCAAAACAUUCGCAGUGGCCGCCUGAGAGCUUUCGCCUUCGCCGGGCUUGAGAGCUUGUGCUGUUCCAAUCCUUCCUUGGAUGUCUGAGGCUAUUUAUCUCAUUUUAAAAUGUUUACUAUUUACUUUUAGGUAAUACCAUAGCGUUUCUUUCUCUGAAAACUUUAUUUCUGCAGCAACAAUUCAUUAUCUCUGUUGACAACUGCGUAUCAGAGAUUUGCCGUGGUGACUCAACUCUACAAGUCGUCAAUAUAUCAGAAUAUGCUUUCUUGAAUGCCAGACAGAAUUCAUGUGACCAAUGUAAUUCUGUGACAUUGAAGAUUUUGGAGUGACCGAUUGCCUCCAGUGACGCUCUAUUUAGUGUUUUGUAAAAUUGUUUGGUGAUUUCCAGAUUGUGUCAGUCUCGUUUUUUAGUACAAGCAAUCGAAUAUUGGUCCAAAGAAAACAUUUUGGUUUUAAGCUUUACUGUACCGUCUUGUUUAUGCUUGAAAUACCAGAAAUUAGAUGGUUGAGUUACAUUUUAUCCGAUGUCAAGUGAAUUACAACAAACUGGCUUUUUUAUUUCUCAAUAAAUAUUCUAACUUCCAAGGUC